rnacentral:rRNA from 1 species
UACAGAGGUCCCGAGCGUUGUUCGGAUUCAUUGGGCGUAAAGGGCGCGUAGGCUGCGGGGCAAGUCGGGUGUGAAAUCUCAGAGCUCAACUCCGAAACUGCAUUCGAUACUGGCGUGCUUGAGGACUGGAGAGGAGACUGGAAUUUACGGUGUAGCAGUGAAAUGCGUAGAUAUCAUGAGGAAGACCAGUGGCGAAGGCGGGUCUCUGGACAGUUCCUGACACUGAGACACGAAGGCCAGGGGAGCAAACGGG